rnacentral:rRNA from 1 species
GCCCUUCAGAGGGGGACAACAGUUGGAAACGACUGCUAAUACCGCAUACGAUACAAUCUCGGCAUCGAGACUGGAUGAAAGGUGGCCUCUAUUUAUAAGCUAUCACUGAAGGAGGGGAUUGCGUCUGAUUAGCUAGUUGGAGGGGUAACGGCCCACCAAGGCGAUGAUCAGUAGCCGGUCUGAGAGGAUGAACGGCCACAUUGGGACUGAGACACGGCCCAG